rnacentral:rRNA from 1 species
GAUGAACGCUAGCGGCAGGCCUAACACAUGCAAGUCGAGGGGGAAGUUACUUUCGGGUGACUGAGACCGGCGUACGGGUGCGUAACGCGUAUACAAUCUGCCUUUCACUGGGGGAUAGCCCGAAGAAAUUUGGAUUAAUACCCCAUAGUAUAUAGGGACGGCAUCGUUUUUAUAUUAAAGCUUAGGUGGUGAAAGAUGAGUAUGCGUUCUAUUAGCUAGUUGGAGAGGUAACGGCCCCCCAAGGCGAUGAUAGAUAGGGGUUCUGAGAGGGAUGUCCCCCACACUGGUACUGAGAUACGGACCAGACUCCUACGGGAGGCAGCAGUGAGGAAUAUUGGACAAUGGUCGGAAGACUGAUCCAGCCAUGCCGCGUGCAGGAUGAAGGUCUUAUGGAUUGUAAACUGCUUUUGUAAGGGAAGAAUAAGGGCUACGCGUAGUUUGAUGACGGUACCUUACGAAUAAGCAUCGGCUAACUCCGUG